UAUUUUUCUGAAGUAACAAUAUCUCUUGCGAUGAGGCUGAAGCACCUCAUACAGUCCAACUCUAGCACAUUCUGUCUCCCGAGCAUAUUGCCAACAUGCUAUCGGCCAUUUACUUAAUCUCUCCAGGCCGCACCGAAAAAUGAAUACUUCAAUAGAAGCCAAUGAGACAGAGAGCCAAGAACUAUCAGAGUGCUUGUCAGCCAACAUUUCAUUCCCAAGCUGGUACAAAGUUCGUUAUGACUUUGGAGAGGUUGGCCACUGUAAAUGAUUACACAGAACUGUUUUCUAGUGUGAUGAGAAAAAGAUACAUAAUUCAUAAUCCUGUAAUGUCAGUGACACAACAUAAAGACUAUAAAUAUAAUUUCCCCUCUAAGUAAGAAAAAACACUCAGCAACUUCUGUUUUUAAAAGGUAGUGGGCAUAUUUCUAAAUUACUUUAAAGGUUGACUGCUUAAAUGUUAACCUGGGUGCUAGGGCUCUCAGGGAAAGAAAUAGGAAGAUGAAACAGAGGAACAUUCCUAGAAAUGAGUGUGUGACCUAUGGUCCUUACAGUAAAUUAUACUAAUUCUACAUUUAUGUUUAUGUGUUGUGGCCCUAUUAAGCUGAUAGAACUUUUCCAUUAAGUGGGCAGGUGGAUUUCCUGUAGUACCCCCGGUUGCCUGAAGAGGUAUAUUGUUUUCUUGUGUUUCCAUUACAGCAUAAAGACGAAGAGGGAAUCCUCUGUGGUAUUUUUCACAUAGAUGGUGAAUCUUUUAUCUGGAGGUUGUAUUUGUAUCCGAGAGAUGAAUAUUAAUAGCCUCUUGGCAGCAGAAUGACUUUCUUAAAAAAGGGGUUUCCCUGUGUAUGGGUGGAUUAACCUUUCAAAAUAUAUGUUUCUACUUAAACCACUGAGUUACUGUUUGAUUCAAAGAGUCAUAAAGACGACCUCUCCGUGUCUUCAUUAGGCCUUGUAGUACACUCACCUAGAUCUGAGAGGGACUUUCAGUAUAGAGUAUGAUUCCAUGUGAACAGCUCACAAAGAAAAAGGAGAAAUACGAAGAGAAACUGGCAAUGUUCACCCAUCAGUCUGAUGAUUCUGAAAGAUGUGAAAGCAUGGAGCUGGACAAUAAAAUCCGGGAUCUGAUUGAGAGGAACGCUUCUUCUGAUCCAAAAGGGGUCACCCCAGAAACCAUACCAAGUCACAGAAACCCACGUUCUCUAAAGGUAAGAAAACACCUUCUUUCUAAUUUUUUCUCAGUACACCCUUAAAUAGCUGGUUCACUAAGAAGAAUUUAUGGGGACAGUCCCCAAACCAUUUACAGGCAGUCACUACUUCCUUGAUGGCUAAGAGGAUAAAAUGAACCAGUAUAAAACUUUUCUCACCCAGUCACUUCCUAUUACUGAAGACACCAGUCAGCAAAAGGCACGUUCCAACCUGAAAUAUGAUACCAGGCAGCCUCAGCUGUAGGACAGUGAGGAGGGGAGUGUGUUAUUAGGAAGAAUGUUUAAACUCUCUUAAAUUGGGUUACCAAAAUCAGCACAAGUGAUGUUCAUGUUUUAAGAGAAAACAAGGCUUUACUGAUUAAAGGAGCUGUUCAACUUUGAAUUUCCUCUUGUUUCAGGGUAUUUGUUUACGGUGCUUUGCGUAAAUAAAUAAAUUCAAGGAUAAGCUCCAGUUAGGAAUUUCUGGAUGACUUUCUAGAAAUGCAUCAUCAUAAGUGACAAAAUAAACUCUUAAGAUAUGUAGCCCCCCGAUUAGAAACAGUCUUUACCAAUCAUGACAAAAAAAAAACAAAACAAAAAAACUCAUCAUAUAUAACUAUAGUAUAUGACAGCAAGGCCAGCAUAAAAAUAUUAAAUAAUUUCUACUUUGGUUCUUAUUUCUAAAGUGACUCACACUCAUUGUAGAAAACUUAUAUGGAUAAGCAGAGAAAAAACUAUAAAAACCAUGUCAAGGCAGAUUUAAUGUGGAGCUAAUGAAGCUUCCAAAAAAACACUAAACCCUCUGCUGUAGUCGUUUCCAACUCAUAGCAACCCUAUAGGACAGAGUAGAACUGCUCCAUAGAGUUUCCAAGGAGUGCCGGUUGGAUUUAAACUGCCAGCCUUUUUGGUCAGCAGCAGUAGCACUUAACCACUA